UACGUAGGGGGCGAGCGUUGUCCGGAUUUAUUGGGCGUAAAGAGCUCGUAGGUGGUUCGAUAAGUCGGGUGUGAAAACUCUGGGCUUAACCCAGAGACGCCACCCGAUACUGUUGUGACUGGAGUCUGGUAGGGGAGUGUGGAAUUCCCGGUGUAGCGGUGAAAUGCGCAGAUAUCGGGAGGAACACCAGUGGCGAAGGCGGCACUCUGGGCCAGUACUGACACUGAGGAGCGAAAGCGUGGGUAGCGAACAGG
rnacentral:rRNA from 1 species